UAUUCUGCCCCACGGGGAAGGAUGAGAAGCUUCGACUAAGGUUCGACUCGAGCGAAGCGAGAGAACGUUGCCGCAGACAACGGCCCGAAGGGCGAGGCGCUUUAGCGCCGAGUAAUCCUUCCCCCACCACCA
rnacentral:sRNA from 1 species